GGAUGUGAGGGCAGGCCAUCUGGCUGCGACCUCUGUCACUCCAUUGAUCAUCAGGGUUCACUGGGCUGAUCUGGCUGGCUAGGCGGGGGUUCCCUUCCUCCCUCGCUGCCCCAUGUGCGUCCCUCCCAAAGCUGCACACUGGGUCAUAGAGAACGACCACCCCCGAUAGAGGAAGACUGCUUCCUUGGUCAAAGGUGUAUGGGUAGCCAUGCUCCCCUGCUAGAACUUCCAAACAAGCUCUGAGAAUGUACUUCCGUGAGCAAAGAGCUGCACUAGGCAAGGGACCAGUGAUGUUCCCAGGCUCU
rfam:Heterocephalus glaber contig96918, whole genome shotgun sequence.